AUGAGACUGAUGGCAGGUCAGAGUGCACCUGUAUGUCCUGUCGGCUCAAGACUGUCUCCUCCUCCUCCUCUCAGAAAAGGUCCUGUGGUGAAACAGCAACGGAAAUCUCUUGCUUCUAUUCCUUAUCUGGCUUAUUCCAAGCUCCUUUCGUGUCUUCGGGUCUACAGCUUCGGCUCCUUUCUUGAAUUUGGGUCUUGGCAGCUUCAGGAUUACAACUUCAGGUCUUUUCGCGGCAUUGGGUCUUCUGCGCUGCGGGUCUUCAGCUCUUUCGGGACUUUGGCACUUCAGCUCUUUUGGGACUUCAAUGGCGCAUCACUUUGGCGCUGUUAAGGGCAGCCCAGCUAAUUCGAAAGUGCAGCACAGCCAGGCCCCCCCUUUAGGCCUGGCCCAGUACAACUGUACCCCUGUGCCCCCCUGAUGGAGGCCCUGACUACACAACAUGGGGCCCUUCAGGGCCACAAGCCAUACUCAGUGACCCAUUGAGAAUUGUUUCUUAAUAGAUUUUUAGUUUCAAGCAGGCACCUGACUCCUGAGCAUAUGAGAGAACCUGGCAACUGACACCUUUCUUUGUCUAAAGUCUUCAGGUGUAGGUGAGCCAGGCAAAGCAGAAGUAAGCAACUAAAACUCAUAAUUGAAUUGUGUUUUUAGGCAAGGUUUUGUUGUUUGGUUCUAAAGACAAAUACAGCCGAAGGCACAGACCUGGCCUUAGUAAAAGACACUAUUGGGGAAAAGUGGAUGUUAGUACAUGAGUAUAUUUAGCAAAACAUCUUGUUCUAAAGCCGAAUGACUUUAUUAGUGUUGGCAGCACACCUUUCUAAGGCAUGCAUAUAAACCAUAGUGAUGACCAAUCAGAGUGCAGUACCAACAAAGGGAUAGGCCCAUAGCAUUUAAAGUGGUUGUCAACCUUCAAAUUAAAUUUAAGUAUGAUGUAGACAAUUAUAUUCCAAGACUAUUUUCAGUUAGUCUUUAUUUUUUGUGGGUUUUGAUAUUUAGCUUUUUGUUUAGCAGCUUUCCAAUUUGGAAUUUUAGCAGUUACCUUGUUGCUAGGGUCCACUUUAUCCUAGCAACCAGGCAUUGGUUUUAAUGAGAGGCUGAAUGAUGAAUUGGAAAGGGACCUGACUAGAAAGAUAACUAAUAAAAGUAGCAAUAACUGUA